AUUGAACGCUGGCGGCAGGCCUAACACAUGCAAGUCGAACGGUAACAGGAAGAAGCUUGCUUCUUUGCUGACGAGUGGCGGACGGGUGAGUAAUGUCUGUGAAACUGCCUGAUGGAGGGGGAUAACUACUGGAAACGGUAGCUAAUACCGCAUAACGUCGCAAGACCAAAAAGGGGGACCUUCGGGCCUCUUGCCCUCGGCUGUGCCCAGAUGGGAUUAGCUAGUAGGUGGGGUAACGGCUCACCUAGGCGACGAUCCCUAGCUGGUCUGAGAGGAUGACCAGCCACACUGGAACUGAGACACGGUCCAGACUCCUACGGGAGGCAGCAGUGGGGAAUAUUGGACAAUGGGCGCAAGCCUGAUGCAGCCAUGCCGCGUGUAUGAAGAAGGCCUUCGGGUUGUAAAGUACUUUCAGCGGGGAGGAAGGGAGUAAAGUUAAUACCUUUGCUCAUUGACGUUACCCGCAGAAGAAGCACCGGCUAACUCCGUG
rnacentral:rRNA from 1 species